AGGACGAACGCUGGCGGCGUGCUUAACACAUGCAAGUCGAGCGGAAAGGCCCUUCGGGGUACUCGAGCGGCGAACGGGUGAGUAACACGUGGGCAACCUGCCCCUAGCUCUGGGAUAACUCCGGGAAACCGGUGCUAAUACCGGAUACGACCUCAUUAGGCAUCCUUUGAGGUGGAAAGAUUUAUCGGCUAGGGAUGGGCCCGCGGCCUAUCAGCUUGUUGGUGGGGUAACGGCCUACCAAGGCGACGACGGGU
rnacentral:rRNA from 1 species